UACGUAGGGGGCAAGCGUUGUCCGGAUUUAUUGGGCGUAAAGAGCGUGUAGGCGGUUUGGUAGGUCCGCUGUGAAAACUCGAGGCUCAACCUCGAGACGCCGGUGGAAACCAUCAGGCUAGAGUCCGGAAGAGGAGAGUGGAAUUCCUGGUGUAGCGGUGAAAUGCGCAGAUAUCGGGAGGAACACCAAUGGCGAAGGCAGCUCGCUGGGACGGUACUGACGCUGAGACGCGAAAGCGUGGGGAGCAAACAGG
rnacentral:rRNA from 1 species